rnacentral:rRNA from 1 species
UAGAGUUUGAUCCUGGCUCAGGACGAACGCUGGCGGCGUGCCUAAUACAUGCAAGUUGAGCGCUGAAGGUUGGUACUUGUACCAACUGGAUGAGCAGCGAACGGGUGAGUAACGCGUGGGGAAUCUGCCUUUGAGCGGGGGACAACAUUUGGAAACGAAUGCUAAUACCGCAUAAAAACUUUAAACACAAGUUUUAAGUUUGAAAGAUGCAAUUGCAUCACUCAAAGAUGAUCCCGCGUUGUAUUAGCUAGUUGGUGAGGUAAAGGCUCACCAAGGCGAUGAUACAUAGCCGACCUGAGAGGGUGAUCGGCCACAUUGGGACUGAGACACGGCCCAAACUCCUACGGGAGGCAGCAGUAGGGAAUCUUCGGCAAUGGACGAAAGUCUGACCGAGCAACGCCGCGUGAGUGAAGAAGGUUUUCGGAUCGUAAAACUCUGUUGGUAGAGAAGAACGUUGGUGAGAGUGGAAAGCUCAUCAAGUGACGGUAACUACCCAGAAAGGGACGGCUAACUACGUGCCAGCAGCCGCGGUAAUACGUAGGUCCCGAGCGUUGUCCGGAUUUAUUGGGCGUAAAGCGAGCGCAGGUGGUUUAUUAAGUCUGGUGUAAAAGGCAGUGGCUCAACCAUUGUAUGCAUUGGAAACUGGUAGACUUGAGUGCAGGAGAGGAGAGUGGAAUUCCAUGUGUAGCGGUGAAAUGCGUAGAUAUAUGGAGGAACACCGGUGGCGAAAGCGGCUCUCUGGCCUGUAACUGACACUGAGGCUCGAAAGCGUGGGGAGCAAACAGGAUUAGAUACCCUGGUAGUCCACGCCGUAAACGAUGAGUGCUAGAUGUAGGGAGCUAUAAGUUCUCUGUAUCGCAGCUAACGCAAUAAGCACUCCGCCUGGGGAGUACGACCGCAAGGUUGAAACUCAAAGGAAUUGAC